GGGACAAGCCCUGGAAACGGGGUCUAAUACCGGAUACGACCAUCUUGGGCAUCUUUGAUGGUGGAAAGCUCCGGCGGUGCAGGAUGAGCCCGCGGCCUAUCAGCUUGUUGGUGAGGUAACGGCUCACCAAGGCGACGACGGGUAGCCGGCCUGAGAGGGCGACCGGCCACACUGGGACUGAGACACGGCCCAGACUCCUACGGGAGGCAGCAGUGGGGAAUAUUGCACAAUGGGCGAAAGCCUGAUGCAGCGACGCCGCGUGAGGGAUGACGGCCUUCGGGUUGUAAACCUCUUUCAGCAGGGAAGAAGCGAAAGUGACGGUACCUGCAGAAGAAGCGCCGGCUAACUACGUGCCAGCAGCCGCGGUAAUACGUAGGGCGCAAGCGUUGUCCGGAAUUAUUGGGCGUAAAGAGCUCGUAGGCGGCUUGUCACGUCGGUUGUGAAAGCCCGGGGCUUAACCCCGGGUCUGCAGUCGAUACGGGCAGGCUAGAGUUCGGUAGGGGAGAUCGGAAUUCCUGGUGUAGCGGUGAAAUGCGCAGAUAUCAGGAGGAACACCGGUGGCGAAGGCGGAUCUCUGGGCCGAUACUGACGCUGAGGAGCGAAAGCGUGGGGAGCGAACAGGAUUAGAUACCCUGGUAGUCCACGCCGUAAACGGUGGGCACUAGGUGUGGGCAACAUUCCACGUUGUCCGUGCCGCAGCUAACGCAUUAAGUGCCCCGCCUGG
rnacentral:rRNA from 1 species